CUGCAGGUUAAGUUACAAUACAUCUGUGCAGUGUUGUGUUGUCGUUCCCCCUGCAAAAAAUAAAUUGCUUCCUACUAUCCCUGUCUUUUGACCCUACCCCAACAGACAGGGACGCUUGGUCUCAAACAU
rnacentral:snoRNA from 1 species